rnacentral:rRNA from 1 species
UGGGGAAUCUUGGACAAUGGGGGCAACCCUGAUCCAGCCAUGCCGCGUGAGCGAUGAAGGCCCUAGGGUUGUAAAGCUCUUUCAGCGGGGAAGAUAAUGACGGUACCCGCAGAAGAAGCCCCGGCUAACUCCGUGCCAGCAGCCGCGGUAAUACGGAGGGGACUAGCGUUGUUCGGAAUUACUGGGCGUAAAGCGCGCGUAGGCGGAUAUUUAAGUCAGGGGUGAAAUCCCGGGGCUCAACCCCGGAACUGCCCUUGAUACAGGAUGUCUGGAGUUCGAGAGAGGUGAGUGGAAUUCCGAGUGUAGAGGUGAAAUUCGUAGAUAUUCGGAGGAACACCAGUGGCGAAGGCGGCUCACUGGCUCGAUACUGACGCUGAGGUGCGAAAGUGUGGGGAGCAAACAGGAUUAGAUACCCCCGUAGUCC